GAAAUCUAUGAAAUUUUAACACAAGGUUUAUGACCACAAGAGGAAGGUUGGUAUUGAUUUUGGGAGUUUUGGUCCCAACAUUUUAGGAAAUAAGGGCCAAAAAGGGCCCAAAUAAGCAUUUUCUUGGUUUUCGCGCUAUAACUUUAGUUUAAGUUAAUAGAAAUCUAUGAAAUUUUGACACAAGGUUUAUGACCACAAAAGAAAGGUUGGGAUUGAUUUUGGGAGUUUUGGUUUUAACAGUUUAGGAAUUAGGGGCCAAAAAAGGGCCCAAAUAAGCAUUAUUCUUGGUUUUCGCACAAUAACUUUAGUUUAAGUUAAUAGAAAUCAAUGAAAUUUAAACACAAUGUUUAUGACCACAAAAGGAAGGUUGGUAUUGAUUUUGGGAGUUUAGGUCCCAACAGUUUAGGAAUUAGGGGCCAAAAGGGGACCCAAAUAAGCAUUUUUCU
rnacentral:lncRNA from 1 species